rnacentral:rRNA from 1 species
GGGGAAUAUUGGACAAUGGGGGCAACCCUGAACGAGCAACGCCGCGUGCAGGAUGAAGGUUUUCGGAUCGUAAACUCCUGUUGCUCGGGACGAAAAGCUUCGACCUAACACGUCGAGGUCUGACGGUACCUAUAGAAGAAGCCCCGGCUAACUUCGUGCCAGCAGCCGCGGUAAUACGAGGGGGGCAAGCGUUGUUCGGAAUUAUUGGGCGUAAAGGGCGCGUAGGCGGUUUGACAAGUCUCAUGUGAAAUCUUCGGGCUCAACCCGAAGCCUGCAUGGGAAACUGUCGGGCUUGAGUAUGGGAGAGGUGAGUGGAAUUUCCGGUGUAGCGGUGAAAUGCGUAGAUAUCGGAAGGAACACCUGUGGCGAAAGCGGCUCACUGGACCAUAACUGACGCUGAGGCGCGAAAGCGUGGGGAGCAAA